GUCACGCGCUCUCUCCCAUCCGCGUCGUUGUCACUCUGAAUUCUUCGCUUUCGUUCGUUGAUUCAUUCCUCCCACGGCUACAGGUUAUUUGAAGUUCAAGUAAUAACACUGAUUCCUCUUGGGUGCUUCUGGAGCUGGACUUAAGAGUUAGAAUUGUGGGUUUGCUAGUAUGAGUUAAUCUAUAUCUUCAUGCUGUGGGGAGACUUUGAAGGCUCAAUAUGGGAGUUUUUGAUGAGUUACCUUUGCCUUCCGAAAAAGCUUAUUUGAGAGAAGAACUCUCUAGAGUAGAUGAGAGUUGGGCUGCUCCUCGUUUUGAUUCAUUACCUCAUGUUGUCCACAUUUUGACAUCAAAGGAUCGUGAAACUGCUGCCCAAUUUUUGAAGGAGCAAAGUGAUGUUAUUGAGGAGGUCGUGGAUGAAGUUGUACAAACUUAUCACAGUGGUUUCAACAGAGCUAUCCAAAACU